AGAAGCCUCACAGCUUCCUUAUUUAGAGGAGAAGGUGUAAAAACAGUUGAGGACCUCAUCAGUGAGCAAUGAAAAAUUUGCAGCCACUUCCUUGGUGGCACUAUCACCAAGUGUCUCAGUAUUUGGGGAUAAUUGGCUCCAAGUGGCCAUUGCUCUUUUUGUACAUGCCCGGCAAAUCCAAGGCAUCUCUUCCUAAGCGAUCCACAUGCUAAAGCUUGGUCUGUACCUCUCAAAGGAGAACUCCUGGCUGGUUAACAGACAGGAGUUGGAAUGACAGUCAGAAGACAGAGUGGUGACUCCACAGAGAACCUGUGGCUUCCCAACUGCUGCUGUGCCCACCAGCCCACGCUGCUUCUCUCAUCACCUCCUCAGCUGUUCCCACUCUGCAGGGACAGGCAGUCCAAGGGUAAAAGGCUGAGCUGGAAAAAACAGAAGUGACAGCCACCAGCCCCCACAGGGAUCUGCUUGGUAUUAUUUAUUAGAAGAGAGGAAUGACAUGGUGCAUGUUUAAUUUGGGUUUAGUUUGUCACGCGUAUGGUUUUCUCAUUACAGCAGGAACAGGGAUGCUAAAUGCCACUUUUAAGUAACGUAAUGAAUAGGAAAGCAAAAAACCCUUGUUUUUAUUGUUGGUGAUGAGAUUUUGUCCAAUGGCUCAACUGACCAGAUCUCUGGGUGAUUCCCGACCAUGGAAACUAUUCAGAUUAAAUGAUACAAUCCAGUAUAGAUGAUUAAAGGCAAUUUCUGCCAUUUUUCAGGUAA